AACAUCGCGCACCUGCGGGAACCUGCGGAGGGAUCAUUACAGAAUUACAACUAUUUGAGAGUUGUUUUUUUCUUUCCUGGCUGUUUCUCGAGAGAGAGAUGGUUUGUGGGGGGGGGAGAAGAUGGCUCUCAUUUACAAACAAACGAUCACAACUAUUAUGCUGUGCUGUGCUGUGUGUGUGUGUGCUUUUCGCUCACUGUGGUGGUGAUGAGCAUGCAUAUAUAUAUGCAUGUGUGCACA
rnacentral:misc_RNA from 1 species